rnacentral:tRNA from 1 species
UGGGGAAUCGUCUAGCGGUAGGACAGCGGGCUCUGAACCCGUAAAGGCAGGUUCGAAUCCUUCUUCCCCAGCCA